rnacentral:rRNA from 1 species
UACAGAGGGGGCAAGCGUUGUUCGGAAUUACUGGGCGUAAAGGGCGCGUAGGCGGCCUUCUAAGUCGAACGUGAAAUCCCCGGGCUCAACCCGGGAACUGCGUCCGAUACUGGAAGGCUUGAAUCCGGGAGAGGGAUGCGGAAUUCCAGGUGUAGCGGUGAAAUGCGCAGAUAUCAGGAAGAACACCCGUGGCUAAGGCGGCUCUCUAGUACGGUACUGACGCUGAGACGCGAAAGCGUGGGGAGCGAACAGG